CCCUUAGAUGUUCUGGGCCGCACACGCGCUACACUGAAGGAGGCAGCGUGUACUCCUGGAUCGAAAGAUUUGGGUAACCCGCGAAUCUCCUUCGUGCUAGGGAUUGAGGUUUGCAAUUAUCCUUCAUGAACGAGGAAUUCCCAGUAAGUGCAAGUCAUAAGCCCGCGCUGAUUACGUCCCUGCCCUUUGUACACACCGCCCGUCGCUCCUACCGAGUGGGUGAUCCGGUGAACUAUUCGGACUCCGGUUAUUCCAGCAUUUGGUUUUGCUGGGGAAAGUUUCGUGAACCUUAUCACUUGGAGGAAGGAGAAGUCGUAACA
rnacentral:rRNA from 1 species